rnacentral:lncRNA from 1 species
AUGCUUGUGACAAUGAUAACAUUCCACCCUUGCCUGGUUAAAUUGUGUUCAUUGAUUGUAAGAUUGGCGUCAUCUACCUCUACCCCUUCCUUGAAAUCCUCCACGUCCUCAUCCUUGAAAAAUAUUUCCUUCAUGAGCAGUGACUUUCAAGGCUUGCUCCUCCACAAUAUGGUUGGUCAUCCUCUGUUCAUGAACUAAGAGUGAGCUUUGCAACACAUCAAUCGAAAGACAAUCUAUGUCAUUCGAUUCUUCAAUAGAAC